ACGGGGCGCAGCAGGCGCGAAAUCUUCACAAUGUGCGAAAGCACGAUGAGGGGAUCCCAAGUGCUGGCACGUAAGUGUCAGCUGUUUCUUAGUCUAAAAAACUGAGAGAGUAAGGGCUGGGUAAGACGGGUGCCAGCCGCCGCGGUAAUACCUGCAGCUCAAGUGGUGGCCGCUAUUAUUGGGCCUAAAACGUCCGUAGCCUGUUUAGUAAAUGCUUGGGUAAAUUGUGUAGCUUAACUAUACGAAUACCGGGUAGACUGCUAAACUUGGGACCGGGAGAGGCUAGAGGUACUCCUGGGGUAGAGGUGAAAUUCUGUAAUCCUAGGGGGACCACCAGUGGCGAAGGCGUCUAGCUAGAACGGGUCUGACGGUGAGGGACGAAGCCCUGGGGCGCAAACCGGAUUAGAUACCCGGGUAGUCCAGGGUGUAAACGCUGCUUGCUUGAUGUUAGUUGGGCUCCGAGCCCAACUAGUGUCGGAGAGAAGUUGUUAAGCAAGCUGCCUGGAAGUACGUCGCAAGACU
rnacentral:rRNA from 1 species